rnacentral:misc_RNA from 1 species
GAAAUGCGAUAAGUAAUGUGAAUUGCAGAAUUCAGUGAAUCAUCGAAUCUUUGAACGCACAUUGCGCCCAUUAGUAUUCUAUUGGGCAUGCCUGUUCGAGCGUCAUUUCAACCCUUAAGCUCAGCUUAGUGUUGGGAAUCUACCGCGGGUGCUACCCUGUAGCUAACCCUGUAGUUCCUCAAAACCAACGGCGGAGUUAUAGUUACCUCUGAGCGCAGUAAUUUUUAUCACGCUUGGGAAGUGCUAUACUUCUUGCCGCUAAACCCCCCAAUUUUUAAUGGUUGACCUCGGAUCAGGUAGGAAUACCCGCUGAACUUAA